rnacentral:rRNA from 1 species
UACGACUGCCGGCGACCGGCGCACGGGUGAGUAACACGUAUCCAACCUUCCGGUUACUCGGGAAUAGCCUUUCGAAAGAAAGAUUAAUGCCCGAUGGCAUAGGGUUCCCGCAUGGGAACCUUAUUAAAGAUUCAUCGGUAACCGAUGGGGAUGCGUUCCAUUAGGCAGUUGGCGGGGUAACGGCCCACCAAACCGACGAUGGAUAGGGGUUCUGAGAGGAAGGUCCCCCACAUUGGAACUGAGACACGGUCCCAACUCCUACGGGAGGCAGCAGUGAGGAAUAUUGGUCAAUGGGCGGGAGCCUGAACCAGCCAAGUAGCGUGAAGGAUGGCUGCCCUAUGGGUUGUAAACUUCUUUUAUACGGGAAUAACAAGCGGCACGUGUGCCGCUCUGCAUGUACCGUAUGAAUA